rnacentral:rRNA from 1 species
UACGUAGGGACCAAGCGUUGUUCGGAUUUACUGGGCGUAAAGGGCGCGUAGGCGGCUUGACAAGUCACUUGUGAAAUCUCCGGGCUUAACUCGGAACUGCCAAGUGAAACUGUCAUGCUAGAGUGCAGAAGGGGCAAUCGGAAUUCUUGGUGUAGCGGUGAAAUGCGUAGAUAUCAAGAGGAACACCUGUGGUGUAGACAGCUUACUGGACCACUUCUGACGCUGAGACACGAAAGCGUGGGUAGCAAACAGG